GGACAUAUCAUAAAGAGGUAUCAUAAAUGAAGAGGAGGUUUGGAAAGACCCACCACAGAAGGUAAUAGUCCUGUAUGUUAAACGAGAAGACUUUAGAUAUGAUCCAGAGUACCACGGGACACGUGAAGCCCUGUGGGAAGCAGGAGGGACCACCCUCCAAGGCUAAAUACUACCUAGUGACCGAUAGCGUAUAGUACCGUGAGGGAAAGG
rnacentral:rRNA from 1 species